AUACGGAGGAUGCAAGCGUUAUCCGGAUUUAUUGGGUUUAAAGGGUGCGUAGGCGGUUUGCUAAGCGGGAGGUGAAAUGCCGGCGCUCAACGUCGGAAGUGCCUCCCGAACUGGUGGACUGGAAUGACUCUGCCGUGGGAGGAAUGUGUAGUGUAGCGGUGAAAUGCUUAGAGAUUACACAGAACACCGAUUGCGAAGGCAUCUCACGAAGGGUUGAUUGACGCUGAGGCACGAAAGCGUGGGGAUCAAACAGGAUUAGAUACCCUGGUAGUCCACGCAGUAAACGAUGAUGGCUAACCGCUGGUUUAUUCGGAUCAGUGGCCAAGCGAAAGCGAUGAGCCAUCCACCUGGGGAGUACGACCGCAAGGUUGAAACUCAAAGGAAUUGACGGGG
rnacentral:rRNA from 1 species